rnacentral:ribozyme from 13 species
UCAAAUCCUCCCAUUUCUUUAAGUGUUUUUUCUUCAUGUUCCUCUCUCAUAAGAUAAACAACAUUAAAAGCAGGUUCCAAGCUCUCUGAUUCUGUCAAUGGAUCCUGAGAUUGAAGAAAAAGCCAAAAGUCCUCGUCCUUUGUGAUGUCUUUUACCUUCUCAAUUCUUUUUCUCAAUUCACCAAUGGUGAUAGAGGGAGAAAGAGU